rnacentral:rRNA from 1 species
AUGAGCGAGCGCCUCUCUCGUAGCAAAUCACGACGGCGGGCACCACACCCACUCCUCCAUUCCCCACUCCUCCCCAAACCAAACCCUCGCCGUCGGCCCCCUCCCCCUCCACCGGCGGCCAUGGACGAACCGCAGGUCAUCAUCGGCACCUCCAGGAGCGAUAUGCUCGCCAGCAUUGAGCGCAACGGCCGACACCCUGACACGCUGGAUCUCGGCUCCAACAUGAUGCUCUACAUGGUGUACCGCUACCUCCCGGCCCCGCCCGUCUCCCCCACCGCCACCCUCUCGCUCGCCGGCGCGUCCUGGGUCCCCGAAGGCGUCGACCGCAUCAGCCGCCUCCCGGAUGCGCUCCUCCGCGACAUCAUCUCCCGCCUCCCCGCCAAGGACGCCGCGCGCACCGCCACCUUGGCCUCGCGCUGGCGCCCGCUCUGGCGUUCGGCGCCCCUUUCCCUUGUCGACAGCCAUCUGCUUCCGGACGGGGGCGCGUCCGGCCCGUUCAUCAUCGGCGCUCCCUCUCCCCGCGCCGUCACCGCCGCGGUGUCCAGCGCCCUCGCGGCGCACCCGGGGCCUUUCCGCUGCGUCCACCUCACCUGCAGCACCAUGGACGAGCACCGAGGCGAGAUGGCCCGCUGGAUCGACACCCUCGUCGCAAAGGGGGUCAAAGAUCUCAUCUUUGUCAACCGUCCUUGGCCGAUUGACCUGCGCCUCCCCGCCACGCUCUUCAGCUGCGCCUCCCUCACCCGCCUCUACCUCGGCGUCUGGAGGCUCCCGGACACCGCCGCCGUGCCGCGCGGUGUCAGCUUCCCCAACCUCCGGGAGCUCGGCCUAUGCUGGAAUGUCAUGGAGGACCGUGACCUCGCCUUCAUGCUUGAAAGAAGCCCCGUCCUGGAGUUCCUGGUCAUCAUGGCCAGCCAGACCGGAGUGCGCGUUCGCCUCGUCAGCCAUAGCCUGCGCUGCGUUCAGCUCGGCCAUACCUUCUUGGAGAACAUCGACGUGGUGGAUGCCCCUCUCCUGGAGAGGCUCUUCCAGUGGCAAACUGUCGCCGCGCAGGGUUGCCGCGUCAUGGCGAACCGCUCUUUCAGAAUCAAGAUUGGGCGUGCACCUAACCUGCUUGUGCUGGGAUAUCUUAAGCCAGGAGAGCAAGAGUUGGUCAUCGUGGCUGGGAGCAAGGAGAACAUUGUCCCUAGUGUACAGAUUUUGGCCAUGGAGGUGCCAUUUGGUGUCCGCAAUGCUAUCAAGAAAGUGCCCGGUUUUCUGCGCUGUUUCCCCAACCUGGAGACGCUCCAUGUCCAGUCCCCCCGCAUACGUGAGGAGUCCACCGGCAAGGUCAAUCUCAAGUUCUGGCAGGAGGGUGGUCCCAUCAAAUGCGUCCUGCAGAGCAUGAAGAAGUUGUUCUUCUACGAGUUCCGAGGGUCGAGAAGUGAGCUUACUUUCCUCAAGUUUAUCGCGGAGAGAGGUCGGGUGCUGGAGCAGAUGGUGGUUGUGUUGGCCAGUGAGUGUUUCUCCUCGGGGGAUAACGUGAAUGCCAAGCUGAAGCCUCUGGCCGAUGCAAAAUGGAGCAGCAAAGCCUGCAAACUAGAGCUCUUCAGGAGCCCACUCACAAAUGUUUCUGGUCCUCGUCACAACCACGAACUAGCUGCUGAUUUCGGGUUUGCUGACCCUUUUGACCUCAAGUACUACUCCAAAGCAGAAAGGAUCUCUGUAAGUUGA